rnacentral:rRNA from 1 species
AGGAAUAUUGGUCAAUGGACGCAAGUCUGAACCAGCCAUGCCGCGUGCAGGAUGACGGCUCUAUGAGUUGUAAACUGCUUUUGUACGAGGGUAAACCCCGAUACGUGUAUCGGGUUGAAAGUUUCGUACGAAUAAGGAUCGGCUAACCCCCUGCCCGCAGCCGCGGUAAUACGGAGGAUCCGAGCGUUAUCCGGAUUUAUUGGGUUUAAAGGGUGCGUAGGCGGUUUGAUAAGUUAGAGGUGAAAUGUCGGGGCUCAACCCCGAAACUGCCUCUAAUACUGUUGGACUAGAGAAUAGUUGCGGUAGGCGGAAUGUAUGGUGUAGCGGUGAAAUGCUUAGAGAUCAUACAGAACACCGAUUGCGAAGGCAGCUUACCAAACUAUAUCUGACGUUGAGGCACGAAAGCGUGGGUAGCAAACA